AGCGCAUAUCGACGUCAUCGUCGCACGCAAUCUUCCUCGGCCUGCCGGGAUCGACGUCAUCGGUAGCAUCGUCGGAUGAUGCCAGCGUUCAGACGCGUCCACUGCGUAAUCUCGUGUCCUACUUGAAGCAGAAAGAAGCGGCCGGCGUUAUAUCCUUACUCAAUAAGGAAACGGAAGCAACCGGUGUGCUCUACUCAUUCCCGCCAAGCGAUUUUUCGACAGAAUUGCGAACGAACAUGUCAAAACCUCACCGAGGAGGGACUGAAGGAAGACCAUCUGAUAAUCGUGGUGGUCCGAGGAGGAAUCGCCUGAGUUGCGGAUGAGGGCGCAGAUAACACAUAAGGAGUGAUCGGGGCAAUAUGGGCCACCUAAGGAAAUCGUUCCGAAAAGCGCUGAAAAGCUCAACAAAUCAUCAUCAGUUGGAAGAUGUGCAGAAGCGCAUAUCGACGUCAUCGUCGCACGCAAUCUUCCUCGGCCUGCCGGGAUCGACGUCAUCGGUAGCAUCGUCGGAUGAUGCCAGCGCUCAGACGCGUCCACUGCGUAAUCUCGUGUCCUACCUGAAGCAGAAAGAAGCGGCCGGCGUUAUAUCCUUACUCAAUAAGGAAACGGAAGCAACCGGUGUGCUCUACUCAUUCCCGCCAUGCGAUUUUUCGACAGAAUUGUUGAAACGAACAUGUCACAACCUCACCGAGGAGGGACUGAAGGAAGACCAUCUGGUAAUCGUGGUGGUCCGAGGAGGAACCGCCUGAGUUGCGGAUGAGGGCGCAGAUAACACAUAAGGUCAAUAAUUGCUGGUGAUGACGAGGCUUCAACGCUGGCGUUUGCCCUAAAGACAGCAUUGCCAGCGGACGUUAAUGUAGCUGCUCCAUAGCAUUAAUCGCAUCUCUUGAUCUCCAACCGGGGUCUCGAGUGCUGCGAUUCCUGAUUGGGCUUGAAUUACGGUGAUAGUCGUCCUUGUUGGUAGUAUCUUGGAUCGGACCCGAUGAUCUUGAGAAGCUUGACCAGAUCACGCAGCAGAUUUCGGAUUCGAUUCGCGGUUACUCAACUGGGAUUACUGAUCCACAUCUACGUCAACUAGCUGGAUUGGCAGGUUAUGAGUGAGUGCAACAUCCUGAGUGCAACAACUUUUCGGUAGUGACUUUGGUUUUGGUUCCGUGUUGAGGCACAAGAAAGUUCAAGUUCCGGAGGAAAUGGGCCACGCGCAACUCAUGUGGAUAAGGAACGUGCGCGCCUGGAGACCGCCUGUCCAGCUGUUUUCACGUACGGCCACAAUUCCUUCCUUGACCUGAAAACAGUUUUUAUUAAUAAUAAACCAAUAAAUCAUUAAUUUCAAAUUA